UUUAAGUUUUUUAAAUGUUAUAUUUUGAUUGUUUCUGGUAAAUAAACAUCUCAGUAAUAGACCUGUUCACAGUUUGUACACAAUAAUGACGUAGUACAUAUGCAAGCGCAUUUUGGCAACAGAAGUAUGGCAGAGAUCAACAGCUUGUCAAGCUAUGCAAGGGGAUUAACAACAAAAGAUCACGAAUGUUACCUCAACAUGUUGACUUUAACAAAUGGUGACGGACUUCCAUAUCUGUAUGCUAUUAUUAAGUGGAUUGAAGAUGUUAGCAAGUGGCUGAAUAUGCAGUGGCCAGAUAUAUAUACGUAUUUGAUUGAGAAACUGAGCAUGUACACCAGAGAGAAAUUACGAGCCUAAAAGUCAUUGGAUGCUUAUAAUCAACAAAUGAGAAAACUACAGUACGUCCUCACAGUGAAUUGCACCUGUAUGGCAGGCUCGCACAACCGGUGCCUGUCUCUGACCUGGAAUUCUGAUCACACUUCUGAUUCUUGCUUGCAGCUCACCCAACCAAGACCAGUCCCUGACCUUAAACUUUGAUCACCAAUUUGGAUUUGUUUGACCUAUCUCAGUAAAAGAACUGAACUGCA